GUUAUCACCGCACCUGGCCGCCUCACCUGGUCGCCUUUUGUUAGCUGGGUCGUGCAGCUCGCCGUUGUUUGGCAGUUCCGGGUCUUCCUUCUCCCGUAUCGGCCCCAAUUGUAGGGCAUGCGAGUGUUUUCCUCCUCUGCCGGUUGCAGCGGGGAGCGAUCAGCUGAUCGAUCGAGUUGCACGUAAUUGUGCUGCUCGAUGCAAGCGAUCUCCUUCCUCCCCUUUGAUGUUCAUUCAACUCCUGACGGGUUGACGUGUGUGUGGGCGGUUUCUGCCAGCACGUUUUUCCCCCCCCUCUUCACGCUGCUGUUGGCCGGCUGCUGUUUUGCCCACUGGCUUAUAUAGCCAACACAUCCAUCCUACUCUGCAUCUCCUACUGUGCUGUACCUACCAUCGAGUAUGGUGACUGCUGCCUCAUCCUCAGUCUCAUCUUAAUCUAUUCAGUUAACCGACUUCUAACUGAUCUUAUUGAUGAUAUUAUUUGUGUUUUGUGGUUUGCUUUGCAUGUUUUUGGUUU